AAUGGCGACGGCGGCGAUAUCAGCGACUUUGGUGUUCGCGGCAAGACGACGUCCUUUGGCCUGUAGUUUAUCUUCUUCCUCGACGCCAAGUACGAGAAGGCUUGUUCUCUACUCUAAACCUGGAUGUUGUCUCUGCGAUGGUCUUAAAGAGAAGCUUAACGCAGCGUUCUCUCUUUCCCCCGGGUCCGAUUCACUCCACGACGUUGUUCUUCAGGUGAGAGAUAUAACUACGAAUCCCGAGUGGGAGCGAGCGUAUCAGUAUGAGAUACCGGUUUUGGCGAAAGAGAACUCUGAUGGUAAAGAGGAAAUUUUGCCGAGGUUAUCUCCACGUCUAAGUGCGGAAAUCAUACAGAAGAAGCUACUUGCUGCUUUUAGUUGAUCAAUAUUACGUACACGACAACGAAAAAGAAGAGAAGAAAAUGUGUGUAAGUAUAGGUGCUUGCGAUGCAACUUGUCGGUAACACCUUGCAACUCAGAAUUCAAUUUCUCUAUGUCAAAACCGAAAGCAAGUUUGCUCAUCAAGCUGGUUGCAUUUGUGGUGAGAGACAACAAUGGUUAAUCAAUCUUUAUGGUCCUGCAUAAAAUGGUCCAUGUAUCAACGACAUAUUUUCUUAACUUGUCACCUUCAUUGUAAAUGUAUCUACCUGAUAAGCCUUUUUACAUAUUA